AUGCUUGAUUUGGCAGCACCUAUACUAAAAUUGGAAUGAUACAGAGAAGAUUAGCAUGGUCCCUGAUCAAGGAUGACACAUAAAUUUGUGAAGCAUUCCAUAAAAAA
rnacentral:snRNA from 1 species